UGGGGAAUAUUGCACAAUGGGGGAAACCCUGAUGCAGCGACGCCGCGUGAACGAAGAAGGUAUUCGUAUCGUAAAGUUCUGUCCUAUGGGAAGAUAAUGACAGUACCAUAGAAGAAAGCUCCGGCUAAAUACGUUCCAGCAGCCGCGGUAAUACGUAUGGAGCGAGCGUUGUCCGGAAUUAUUGGGCGUAAAGGGUACGCAGGCGGUUUAAUAAGUCGAAUGUUAAAGAUCGGGGCUCAACCCCGUAAAGCAUUGGAAACUGAUAAACUUGAGUAGUGGAGAGGAAAGUGGAAUUCCUAGUGUAGUGGUGAAAUACGUAGAUAUUAGGAGGAAUACCAGUAGCGAAGGCGACUUUCUGGACACAAACUGACGCUGAGGUACGAAAGCGUGGGGAGCAAACAGG
rnacentral:rRNA from 1 species